CGAUGGCUGUCGUCAGCUCCGUGCCGUGAGGUGUUGGGUUAAGUCCCGCAACCGAGCGCAACCCUUGUGACUAGUUGCCACUCCCAUUUCGGUGGAAGCACUCUAGUCAGACUGCCCGUGAUAAGCGGGAGGAAGGUGGGGGAUGACGUCAAGUCCGUAUGGCCUUUAUGCCCAGGGCUGCACACGUGCUACAAUGGAUGGUACAGAAGGACGCAAGACCGCGAGGUGGAGCAAAUCCCCAAAACCAUCCACAGUUCAGAUUGGAGUCUGCAACUCGACUCCAUGAAGCUGGAAUCGCUAGUAAAGGCGUAUCAGCUACGACGCCUUGAAUACGUUCCCGGGCCUU
rnacentral:rRNA from 1 species